rnacentral:tRNA from 1 species
CGGGGCGUGGCGCAGUCCGGUAGCGCACUUGAAUGGGGUUCAAGUGGUCGCUGGUUCGAAUCCAGUCGCCCCGA